UUUACCUGCAAACAGGGAUAAGGGAAUAAUGGCUCAUUCUAAACCACUUAAUCCCCUUCCAGACAUUAUAACAACAAGUGGAGGACACUGAGAAAGAUUGUAGAUGCCUCUCCUGCAAUAAGUUCACAAGGAAAUGCAAGGAAAGUAGACCUGCUGGGUUAAAGAGCAAGCUGUAAGAGACGGAUGCUCUUCCCCGCGACACCCAGAAUCUGGUGCCUGAGGCAGAGGCUUUGAAUAUCACGACUGAAAGGUCUGCGGAAGCCUUUCCAGAGAUCAUCGGUGAGGCUACAAAGUCAACUGAAUGCAAGCAAUCGUCAGCAUGUACAGAAGUAUCACCAUAUGCCGGGGGGUGGGGGAGAGAAGUUCAUUUAGAGACCCUGAUUCUUCCCUUUGGGGGAGGCCAGGAGGAAAGAGCCCCUAAGCAGCUAUUUUAAGCUGUUUUUUUUUCCUUGGGGGAAGAGAAAUUUUGCAUUUCUUCUCUCCCUCAGCACAGGUCUUUGCUGUCCCCCCUGGCUGAGUUUAUAGGGCCAGCCAAGAGAGAACCCUGCCCGGUGUGAGAAGGAGGAGCCCACAGGCAAGGGAGCAGCUGCUGACCCUCCUUCUUGUGCUAAUGAACUAAUUAAUCACGGUAAAUAAGGCUGGCGAUCAACUCCAUCCUGAUGGAGAGCCAGCGCCAGGUGGGGGCCAGGCAGGAGGAGGCCCAGGUGGCCGACUGAGGGUCUGGAAAGAGAUUGGUCUCAAAACCGGGAAGGUCCCCGAGCAGCCCUGGAUGGGGACAGGGAGGCAUGUCCCUGUCCAUCAUCCUUCUGUAGGAGGCCUCCGCUCCUGCUGUGAUGAUAACUCCUGGCACACAGACAUGGAUGGAGGCCUCAUCAAAAGGAUGGAAUCCUAGAACAAACAUCAACAAUGGGAUUAAGAAUAGAAGAAGUGGCUUUCUGAAUGCACAGCCUCCGGAGCCUGAAUUAGCUAAUUUGUACCUGAAACAAGCAUUUUGUAGUUAUCAUGGUAGAAUGGUAAAUAUGUAAAUAAUAAGAAACAACGACAACAAUAAACAAUGUUUAAUUUGAUCA
rnacentral:lncRNA from 1 species